GAGAUUCCCCCAGUAGCGGCGAGCGAACGGGGAGGAGCCCAGAGCCUGAAUCAGCAUGUGUGUUAGUGGAAGCGUCUGGAAAGGCGCGCGAUACAGGGUGACAGCCCCGUACACAAAAGCGCAUGUGUUGUGAGCUCGAUGAGUAGGGCGGGACACGUGGUAUCCUGUCUGAAUAUGGGGGGACCAUCCUCCAAGGCUAAAUACUCCUGACUGACCGAUAGUGAACCAGUACCGUGAGGGAAAGGCGAAAAGAACCCCGGCGAGGGGAGUGAAAAAGAACCUGAAACCGUGUACGUACAAGCAGUGGGAGC
rnacentral:rRNA from 1 species